rnacentral:rRNA from 1 species
UACGUAGGGCGCAAGCGUUGUCCGGAAUACUGGGCGUAAAGCGUGCGCAGGCGGUGAUGUAAGACAGAUGUGAAAUCCCCGGGCUCAACCUGGGAACUGCAUUUGUGACUGCAUCGCUGGAGUGCGGCAGAGGGGGAUGGAAUUCCGCGUGUAGCAGUGAAAUGCGUAGAUAUGCGGAGGAACACCGAUGGCGAAGGCAAUCCCCUGGGCCAAUACGUGACGCUCCAUGCACGAAAGCGUGGGGAGCAAACAGGA